rnacentral:rRNA from 1 species
GUGACCUCAAAUCAGGUAGGACUACCCGCUGAACUUAAGCAUAUCAAUAAGCGGAGGAAAAGAAACUAACAAGGAUUCCCCUAGUAACUGCGAGUGAAGCGGGAAAAGCUCAAAUUUAAAAUCUGACAGUCUUUGGCUGUCCGAGUUGUAAUCUAGAGAAGUGUUAUCCGCGCUGGACCGUGUACAAGUCUCCUGGAAUGGAGCGUCAUAGAGGGUGAGAAUCCCGUCUUUGACACGGACUACCAGGGCUUUGUGAUGCGCUCUCAAAGAGUCGAGUUGUUUGGGAAUGCAGCUCAAAAUGGGUGGUAAAUUCCAUCUAAAGCUAAAUAUUGGCGAGAGACCGAUAGCGAACAAGUACCGUGAGGGAAAGAUGAAAAGAACUUUGGAAAGAGAGUUAAACAGUACGUGAAAUUGCUGAAAGGGAAACGCUUGAAGUCAGUCGCGUUGUCCAGGGAUCAACCUUGCUUUUGCUUGGUGCACUUUCUGGUUGACGGGUCAGCAUCAAUUUUGACCAUUGGAAAAAGAUUAAGGGAAUGUGGCAUCUUUGGAUGUGUUAUAGCCCUUGGUUGCAUACGAUGGUUGGGAUUGAGGAACUCAGCACGCCGCAAGGCCGGGUU